rnacentral:rRNA from 1 species
GAUGAACGCUGGCGGCGUGCCUAAUACAUGCAAGUCGAGCGAACGGACGAGAAGCUUUCUUCUCUGAUGUUAGCGGCGGACGUGUUAGUAACACGUGGAUAACCUACCUAUAAGACUGGGAUAACUUCGUGAAACCGUAGCUAAUACCGUAUAAUAUUUUGAACCGCAUGGUUCAAAAGUUUAAGACGGUCUUGCUGUCACUUAUAGAUUGAUCCGCUCUGCAUUAGCUAGUUGGUAAGGUAACGGCUUACCAAGUCAACGAUGCAUAGCCGACCUGAGAGGGUGAUCAGCCACACUGGAACUGAGACACGGUCCAGACUCCUACGGGAGGCAGCAGUAGGGAAUCUUCCGCAAUGGGCGAAAGCCUGACGGAGCAACGCCGCGUGAAUGAUGAAGGUCUUCGGAUCGUAAAACGCUGUUAUAAGGGAAGAAAAUAUGUGUAAGUAACUGGGAACAUCUUGACGGUACCUAAUCAGAAAGCCACGGCUAACUACGUG